UUUGCCUUGCACCAUUGUGAUCAGUCUCCGUAUUCAGUUUAUUUAUAUUUACGUGAAUGGUUUAUUCAAAUUAAACUGAAGCUGAACUUGUGAACAUAAAUUAGAAGAAAAUAAUUAGAAGUUACUCAUUUUUUGAAUUCCAUUGAAUUAAAUUCGUUAGCACUGUCGAGGGGAUAAAAUCAUGUCGUUUAAGUUCUCUGAUCAAAGGUUGGAAUAUGAUGGCUCUGCAAACAGCGAGGUGAUUUUUACGCCAGAUAAAAAGGCGUACACAGAGGACAACAUAUUGAUUUACAAUAUUUUCGUAUACAACAUUCCAAGAAGGAUGAAGGACGCCGAUAUAACUUGUUAUUUUUCUAAGUUUGGCGUGAUUUCAGAAGUACGACUGGUGGAUGAUAAAAAGAGAUCUCGUCGUUCUUCGCCGACAGUAGGAUUUGUGAACUUUGUCGAACCAGAAAGUGCUUACAGAGUAUUGCAGAAAUUUAAUCAUCGUAUACGAGGUUCACGUAUUGGCGUUAAAGCUGGCAAUAGUUGGAAUCAGCCUGAUGGCGAAAAGGCAUGUAGCCAAGUGGUACUUGGAACCCAACAAAAGAAAGUUGAAGCUUCGAACUUUGAUACGAAAUUUACUGGUCUGAAUAUGCUAUCGUUAAAUGAUGAUUGCUUAGAUAUUAUUUGUGGCCUAUUAGUGCUACGAGAUCAAAUACGUUUUGCGCGAGUAUGUAAUCGUUUUCAAGAAAUAUUCAGAAUAUUAUCCAGGCGCGCAUAUAAAAGGUUUGAGUUUUGUAAACUCUUAGGGAUGACAUUAUGGGAGAUACGCGACUUCUUUCGUUUUGCCGGCGAAAAUAUUGAGGAAGUGACGGGCGAUGUACCAUAUAAGAAUCGUGAACGCAUCAUUACAUUUAUUAGAACGUGCUGCGUCAACUUAAAACGAAUCACAUUAUUCGAUAGUAAAAUGGAGACCGAUUGUUUGAAGAAAUUAUUUCGCAGCUUCCCUCUAUUACGGGAGUUACAUUUGCAUAGUUGCGGUAUAGAUGACCUCUCAAUACAAUCUCUCCAAUAUUUGACUCAAUUAGAGAGUCUGACACUCUCAGAGAACUAUGAGCUAACAGGCAAAUUUCUGAACUCGUUAGUACAGCUGAAGUAUCUAAAUUUGUAUGGUUGUAGAAAUAUUCAAACUUCCAAUUUGGUUGAAAUUUGCUGUUCCAUGCCGAACUUAAAAUCGCUUGAUAUACGUCGUUGUGAACGGCUAUCGCCAAUCUUUUUCGACACCAUGGCAGAACAUUGUCAGCAACUCGAAACAUUGAAAAUGUCUUGCCCAGAUUUUCCAUACGAGCAUGUAACAUUAUUACCUCGACUGAAACACAUUGAAUUGUUACUGCACACAUCUUUUUCGGUAUCACAUACACAGAUUUUUUUGAAAUUGGUCGAAAAUAAGUCACAGCAAUUAGAAAGCUUAAAAAUCUAUGGCAAAAAUUCAAUCAAUCCGCAAGAAAUAAGUUUCAUAUCAAAAUUGGAAAAACUGAAAUCAUUACAUUGCCCAAAUAAUCCAGCAAUCGACGAUAACGCGCUUCGAAAACUGUGCCAAUUAGAGCAACUUGAAGAGCUGGUUAUCAAAAACAGUGGCGAUAUAACAAAUGAAGCUCUGAUAAAGCUGUUGCAAAGUUGCAAGCGUCUGCGUCAUUUAAAUAUACAAUUUUGCAAAAAAAUUACUUGUGAAUUCGUUUUAGAAGCCAUAAAUAUAUUAAAAGACCGUAAAGACAGAUCUCAUCUUCCAUUCGUCCUUUUUGUAUAUGGAACAUCUAUAGAUAAAUAUGGAAUGUCCGAGUGUCAGAAAUACAUGAAGGCUGAGAAAGAGUCACUUAUCAAAAUAGUUUUCGAAAUAUUAACUGUUGAUAUAGGAAUUCCUGACAAAGAUAUUUACGACUUGUGGGAUAGCGAUGAUUGGUACGAUGAGGAAGGUGAUAUUCUUACCGAUGAGGAUGAUGAUUUCUACUUCCCAGACUCGGAUAUGGAAGAUUAUGAUCGCUUUUUCAAUGAAAUAGUUUAAGUUAAUUUCAUUUUAAACAAUUAUAAAACAAAAUUAUAAUAUAUAAGGAGUAGCGAUAAUACUUAAAAUAGUACGCUAUUCAGAAAACAAUUUAAUUUUUAUCAUAACUGGUGAGUGACGUCGAUGUUGAGCAGGCACCGAGCAGCUUAAUCAAUUUGUUCUUUACAUACUGUGUAUGUGGGACGAUAAAUAUAUAUUUAUAAUUUGUAUUAAGUCUUCGAACAUUUUUGCAACUCUAAUUUUGUUUGAAGUAAAUAUGAGAUGAAUGAAA